rnacentral:rRNA from 1 species
GGUGCAAGCGUUACUCGGAAUCACUGGGCGUAAAGAGCGUGUAGGCGGGUAUAUAAGUCAGAAGUGAAAUCCAAUAGCUCAACUAUUGAACUGCUUUUGAAACUGUAUACCUAGAAUGUGGGAGAGGUAGAUGGAAUUUCUGGUGUAGGGGUAAAAUCCGUAGAGAUCAGAAGGAAUACCGAUUGCGAAGGCGAUCUACUGGAACAUUAUUGACGCUGAGACGCGAAAGUGGNGGAGCAAACAGGAUUAGAUACCCUGGUAGUCCACGCCCUAAACGAUGUACACUAGUUGUUGUGAGGCUCGACCUUGCAGUAAUGCAGUUAACACAUUAAGUGUACCGCCUGGGGAGUACGGUCGCAAGAUUAAAACUCAAAGGAAUAGACGGGGACCCGCACAAGCGGUGGAGCAUGUGGUUUAAUUCGACGAUACACGAAGAACCUUACCUGGACUUGACAUAGUAAGAACUUUCUAGAGAUAGAUUGGUGUCUGCUUGCAGAAACUUAUAUACAGGUGCUGCACGGCUGUCGUCAGCUCGUGUCGUGAGAUGUUGGGUUAAGUCCCGCAACGAGCGCAACCCUCGUCCUUAGUUGCUAACAGUUCGGCUGAGAACUCUAAGGAGACUGCCUACGCAG